rnacentral:miRNA from 1 species
CUAGGGGUCGACCGGUUGACUAGC